rnacentral:tRNA from 1 species
GGUCCCGAAGUGAAGUACACGUUAGAUUGCAAAUCUAGAGUUGCAGAGUAGAAUCUGCCGGGGCUUG